UGUGCGGGAAAACGACAGCCCCUUACCCAGAAAAUAAGAGGACAAGGGCCGUCGCUCAGAUGGGGUCUCUACCAGUCCAGACCAUGUUGCCUGCCUUUUUACUGCCCAAGUCGUGACAAAGAAAAGAGAAGAGGGAUCCUCCAUGUUGAACAUGCCUGGCCCCCAGGUACCUCAGGGAGUAGAACGAAGAGGGAAGAGGCUGGGGACGUUAGAACACUAGAACAUGUCUGUGUACGGAAUGGCGCCACCUUUGCUCCUGCCGCCCCG